rnacentral:lncRNA from 1 species
GAUUCGUACUCGCUCGACUAAAAGUUCGAUUCGAUCUCGAUUCGAAAUAUAAAUGAGUCAAAUAUGAGCAAAUUUUAAAGUUCGAUAAAUUACUCGAACCAUCUCAAAUUGCAAUUUUCUAUUGAUACUCGAAUCAUAUUCGUUUAAAAAGUUCAAACUUUUGAGCUCGAUUCGAGAUCAAGCUCGGCUCGAUAGCUAAAUGAGCUUUAAUCAAAU